UUAUAUAAACCCCACCACCUGUACUGCUCCUAAUCGAACACUCAGCAUAAUCUUACUCUCUCCCAAUUAUGGGAGAUCCUAAUCCGAUGUCGUUUUCACUUCCUCCCGGUACCCGAUUUUACCCCUCCGACAAACAACUCAUUUGCUACUAUUUAUCCUCAAAAAACAGCGCCGAUCAUCGGAACGACUUUCAGUUUAACCUAAUUCGUGAAAUUGAUCUCUACAAUUUUGACCCGUUUAACUUACCCGAUUCCGCCUGUUUCAAAUAUGGACGCGGCAGCCUUAAAAGGCACUGGUUUUGUUUUGUGGCUAGGGUUUUAAAAGGAGGGCGGAGGAGAGCUGGGGGUGGGUACUGGAAGAAGAGAGGUAGAAUUAGGGAUGUGAUGGGUGAGGGUGCAGGGAAAGUUGUGGUCGGUACGCGAAAAAGUUUUGUUUUUUAUUUAGGCGAUUGUAUUAAGACUGCUGUGAAGACUGAUUUGUUGAUGUAUGAGUACGCUUUAACUGGAAAUCCUAUGCUUCUACUUGUGUGCAGGCAUCUUUUGUUCUAUGCCGAGUAUUUAUCAAAUCUCAUUAUCGAAAUAACUUGUCAGAGCAUGUAUUUAGUUCCUAUGGUGAAGAAACUUUGGCGGCAGUACGUCAUGUAGGUAUUCAAUGUGACGGAACUGCUGUAUCGGUUACUGAGUCUAAAAUGCAUGAUGAAAAUACCGUUGACCUGGAGAAUGAUAGUCAAGCUCUUAUAGAACCUGUUGCCAAGCAGCAGAUUGAUCUUGAGAGUGGCGGACCUCCAGUUCUCAAUGGUUUUUCUGCUCAGGAACUGACGGCGAUUUUAGAAGGAGAUUUUAUAGAGUUGGAUGACCUUCUAUGCCCGCUUUCCGGCAUUAACUAAAAGAAGAUAACAGCAACAAUCCCAAAAGUUCAACAGCAAUCCCAAGCAAGUACAACCAAUAACAAUCCAAGCAAGUAAAAUCGAUAAGAAUCCCAAGCAAGUAAAAUCGAUAAGAUCCCGAGCAACCUAUUUUUGGAAAUCAGUAUAGCAUCAAGUUUAAGCCGGAUUAUAUCACUAAAGGCGACAAUAAUGGUAUUCAGGUCACUUUUCAGAGCAAUAGAAAUUGAAAUUAUAAUAGGUCAAUGAAAGAGUGGUAGUUAUCAAAACUGUGAGGUCACCUCCUACAGAGGCAUCAUUUUUAAAAAUCAGCUCAAGAGAAUUGGAUGAGUAAUUGUUCACAUUAUUUUGUUGUCUGGAUGGAUAUCUUGACAGUUACCAAACUAUUAGGUCACUUCAACGGCAUGAUUUCUGAAAAUCAGCUCAAGAGAGUAGAUGGGUUGAGUAAUGAGGCUCACCUUUCAACUUUCAAGUAUACAAUUGCCUGGAAGGAUAUCUUGUUUAUGGGUGAAGAGUUAUGUUACCUAAUACUGUGUCAUGAACCAUGGAAAUUGGCUCAAUAGUAUUAUAUUGCAUGAAUAGUGGCUCACGUUACCUGGACAGACAUCUUAAACAGUUAUCAAAUUACGAGGUCAAUUCAUACAGUUUCAUGAUUGCUGAAGAUCAGCUCAAGAUAACAGAUGGAGUGAGUAAUAAGGUCAAUUUACAAUUAUACAAUUACCUGGACGGAUAUCUUGAGUAGUGGCUGAAAGAGUUAAGUCACUUUAUACAGUGUCAUGAUCCUGAAAAUCAGCUAAAGAGAAUUAGACUGGGUAAGUAAUGGCUAGCAUUAUAUUGUUACCUGAAUGGAUAUCUCAACAGUUAUCAAAUUAUGAGGUCACUUCAUACAGUGUCAGAGAUUGCUGAAAAUCAGCUCUGGAUAAUAGAUCACGUUAGCAAGGUUCACAUUUUACAAUUAUGCAACUACCUGGAUGGAUAUAUUGGAUAUGGUUGAGAGUUGAAUCAACUUAAUACAGUGUCAUGAUUGCUGCAGAUCAGCUGAAGAGAAUUAGACUGGGUGAGUAAUGGUUGUAUUAUGACCUGGAUGGAUAUCGUAACAGUUAUCAAGUUAUAAGGUCACUUCAUACAGUAUCAUGAUCUAAAUAUCUCAGAGGUAAUAGAUCGGCUGAGUAAAGCUUGGAUUACACUUAUACAAUAGGAUGGAUGUCUUGUUAUAUGGGUGAGAGUUGAAUUACUCAAAGAAAUGUCAUGAAUGCUGAGCAUCAGCUCAAGACACUAGAUGGGUAAGUAAUGGCUCACAUAUUACAACUACCUGGAUGGACAUCUUGUAUUUGGUGAAGAGUUAACAACACAAGUAAUGACAGCUAUAGCAAUGACAUGGAUGGCCAUCUCAUAUGUGGGGAAGGAUAUCUUGUGUAUGGUGUACACUUAAUUACGGGAGCACCAACAUGGAUGUAUAUCUUGUAUAUGGUAAAAAGUUAACAGCAGCAACAACAACAAGUAUCUCAUAAUACUAAGCAAGUUGGAUGGUGAAGAGUUAACAAAUAGCUCCAAAGUCCAUAGGAUGUGACAAUGUCGGUUGGUUAUGAGGUGACAAAAAUGUGAGGAGACCGGUGCUGGUGAGAGAGCAGGUACAAGCACGUACCUAGUGGAAUAGUCGAGGUGUGCACAAGCUGGCCCGUUUGUCAGGACCCAAGUUCUCUUGCUUUCAGACCGGCAAUUUUGGCUCCUUAGUAGACUCUGCUCUUGGUGUAGAUGUGGCAGCAUAGUUAAGGUUAUUGGUACGUUUGGCGAACUCGGCAGUGUAAGAUAAAAUCUCAACAUUGCCUUUUUUUUUUUUUUUGCUUCACAAGUCUUCCAAUUUCUAGCGAUCAUGCCUAGUAGUAAGUUGGGGAGAAUGUAAAACUUCAAAGUCCAGUUCCAGAUAAGUAUGUUUUUAACAAAUCCUAGUACAAGAUGGUAGCAUUAUGAGAAUCUGCUGAUUCUCUUUCAGAUUAAGUACUUUGGGUAUUUGUACGAUAUGUUCUCUAGGAUCUUUUCCUAUGCACUGACUGUAGUUUGUGAAGCUUGAAACUGUUGUUUUACUCUAUUCACAGUACGAGUGCCAGAGGAGCUAGUGGUAUACAAGUAUUACUGGCACUUGGACUGUCUUUUCUGUUAGGGAAACACUCAUGAAACUCAACAGUUAAGGUGCUUGGUUGCUACACUUGUACUCCUUAACGAGGGACUCUUGUCUUUCCCCCCGACUAUCCAAACUUAACCCCAACAUUCAAAGAAAUAGUUGGGCGUCGUGAAUCUUCUGUUUCUCUGGAAAAAGAAUGACUCCAGCAAAGUUUCAGCCAAGUUUUUGGGUUUUCGAUAAGAUGCAAUAGUUUUUGUCCUUGCAAGAUAUGAAGAAGAUAGCCUACGGUCUUCUUGCACUGCAGGAAUCCGGGCAGAGAAGGAUGGAAAAAAAUUCAGUCAGCAAAAACAAAACGUUUCUUAUAUCUUUUGAAAAAGGAAAAUAGACACUUUUCAAAUAGGAAAUGAAGAGAUGGUUUGGUUUGAGUAAAUCGUUAAUCAAUCUUCAUAUUUAGUUAUUAUGUCCCAUUCAUCUUAUUUUAAAUGGUCCUUUAAUCGGCA